rnacentral:rRNA from 1 species
CCUACGGGGGGCUGCAGUGGGGAAUAUUGGGCAAUGGACGCAACUCUGACCCAGCAACGCCGCGUGAAGGAAGAAGGCCUUAGGGUUGUAAACCUAUGUUGUAAAGGAAGAAAAGUAUGACGGUACUUUACAAGAAAGUUCCGGCUAACUAGGUGCCAGCAGCCGCGGUAAGACAUAGGGGGCAAGCGUUGUUCGGAAUUACUGGGCGUAAAGGGAGCGUAGGCGGGAGAUUAAGUUAAGAGUGAAAGCCUUGGGCUCAACCCAAGAAAUGCUCUUAAUACUGGUUUUCUGGAGUGUGGGAGAGGUGAGUGGAAUUCCUGGUGUAGGGGUAGAAUGCGUAGAGAUUAGGAGGAACAUCAGAGGCGAAGGCGGCUAACUGGAACAUAACUGACGCUGAGGCUCGAAAGCGUGGGGAGCAAACAGGAUUAGAUACCCGAGUAGUC